rnacentral:rRNA from 1 species
GUAGGUGGCAAGCGUUGUCCGGAAUUAUUGGGCGUAAAGCGCGCGCAGGCGGUUCUUUAAGUCUGAUGUGAAAGCCCACGGCUCAACCGUGGAGGGUCAUUGGAAACUGGAGAACUUGAGUACAGAAGAGGAAAGCGGAAUUCCACGUGUAGCGGUGAAAUGCGUAGAGAUGUGGAGGAACACCAGUGGCGAAGGCGGCUUUCUGGCCUGUAACUGACGCUGAGGCGCGAAAGCGUGGGGAGCAAACAGGAUUAGAUACCCUGGUAGUCCACGCCGUAAACGAUGAGUGCUAAGUGUUAGGGGGUUUCCGCCCCCCUUAGUGCUGCAGCCAACGCAUUAAGCACUCCGCCUGGGAGUACGGCCGCAAGGCUG